GGUUGAGGAGCCUCUCAGCUCGACGGCGCAGUGGUCGCCUCACCGUCUCUCACCGCUAGUUGUCACUGAUCCCUCCGUGUUUAUCGGCGGCGUGGCUGGACGACGCCGCUUCUCCUCCCUCCCGCCGCCGGGGGACCGACGACACAGGUCCGGAUCAAAGGCCGCCGCAUCGUCUUCGUCGAGUGGAGCACGCCGCCGCUCGAGCACGGAGAAUGAAGAGAACCCUGUCAAGUAGGAGGGUAGUGCCGCCGUAGAAGACACUUUUGAGUGUGGCUUGAUAGAGGUACCAGUUGCGGUCCGCAGCAGGCCCACGGCGACGUUCACUGGGCUGAUGCUUCACCCGAACCAUUCGUACAGGUGCAAAGAUUGGAAUAAAGCUGCAACCAGAGACUAGUCAGAAUGGAGGAAGGGAUCGGGAAAUGAGAGCAUUUGGAAUCAAAUCGUGACUUGUAGGCACGAACCUGGGCGUUGGGAGGGGUAGACGGCGGAGACGAAGGGCAUGAGGGCAGCGCGUCCGAGAACUUGGCAACGAAGAUGUGGGCCUGGGCCUUGGUGGAUUCGACCAUUGAAGGCACGGCCGCAGCACGCGGGAUUCAUUGCAGCCUCUGCGGACGAUUCUGCACGUGUUGCGACUCAUCUCCUCCGACGAUCUCUCGGCCACCGCUGCUCCGAUCCUCCUCCUCAAAGGUUAAAAAUUUAUCCUCUCUCUACAAUUUAGUUCAGUUUUCCUCUCCUUAUUGAAGUCAUAGAAGAAAUUUAGGUUUUCUUUUUCUCUUUUUUGUUUCGGAGACUUGAGCGACAAGAAAUCAAUGAAAGGUGAGUCCCGAGAGGAGCAAAGGAAAGGGCGAAGAGGCGGUGCGAUCACCAUAGAGUUAAACUAAGGGUCGCCGGGGAGGUUGGGUGAUUGUCUGUGUGGGCGUGUGCGGUCACACUCCACCACAGAGUUAAGCUAAGGAUCGCGGAUAGAGAGAGCGAGUUAUUUGGAGGUGUGGUCUUGAGGCUCUUCUUGAUCUAAAUCUAUCAACUGAUCGUUCAUGAACAGUUCCUAGGGGAAGCACACCCACCAUUUUGUAUUUAAACGGGAAGCUUCAUCAUUUAGAGUUGAGAUUGACCAAUUCCAGAUGAUGGAUAUCAUGAAAGAUCAGUUUCUGUGAAAGAUUGCUUAACCCACAUUUUUUGAACUAUUCAUAAUGGAUUGAAGGCAG
rnacentral:lncRNA from 1 species